CUGACAGAGAGGUGCAUCGGAGCAAAGAAAUUGCCGUUCCCAAGAGGUUGUACAAUCACCCCAUGGGCUUGAAAAGACAGACCCGUUUUGUUCGUGAGGCGGCCGUUACCAUUUUUUAUACAGCAGGCCAAGUCAGUAGAAGUGUUACUGGUGCAGCCUCCAAUCGGUCUAAAGGGGAGGCGAAAUUUCCCUAGGAGAAAGAAACAUAUGCUGUGUUUUCAGAUUUCUUCAACCAUUUUUU